rnacentral:rRNA from 1 species
AGGACGAACGCUGGCGGCGCGCUUAAUACAUGCAAGUCGAGCGAGAACCAGGGCUUCGGCCCUGGGGACAGCGGCGAACGGGUGAGUAACACGUGGGUAAUCAACCCCCGACACCGGGAUAGCCCAGGGAAACUUGGAUUAAUACCGGAUGCUCCAUCUGGCUUUCGAGCCGGCUGGAAAAGGGUAGCUUCGGCCUCCGGUCGGGGACGAGCCCGCGGCGGAUUAGCUUGUUGGUGGGUAAAGGCCCACCAAGGCUACGAUCUAUAGCUGGUCUGAGAGGAUGAUCAGCCACAUUGGGACUGAGACACGGCCCAAACUCCUACGGGAGGCAGCAGUGGGGAAUCUUGCGCAAUGGGCGAAAGCCUGACGCAGCCAUGCCGCGUGAAUGAUGAAGGUCUUAGGAUUGUAAAAUUCUUUCAGUAGGACGAUAAUGACGGUACCUACAGAAGAACGCCCGGCUAACUUCGUGCCAGCAGCCGC